GUAAAAUUGAGCGCGGACUCAGGAUUGCCCGCACGACCCACCAAGCCCGCUAGGGUUACCCCCUUUCUCUUCUCCCGAGCGCAACUUAUCCCCUCCCGAGCGGAGCCGCCAUAGCCGCCACCUCCUCCGCCCCUCUCCUGUGGCUGCCUCCGGCGCCGUGCGCCUCACCCUCCUCCCCAUCUUCUCCAUCGCUACCAACCACCGCCCUCCGCCACCCAAGUCGAGCCGCCGCCGCCCAAGUCGAGCCGCCGCCGCCGGAUCAGCUUGCCGCCCACCUUCUCCCCAUAUGCUCCGUCCAGCCUGCCGCUUCUCUUAACCGCUGCCGGAUCGAGCUCGCCUCGCAGCUGAACGGGGAGGUACCUCACGAUUUCGUUGUCGUCUGAUCUUAACUAAUUUUGCUCUCUGAUCUUAAAUUGCAACAAGUCUGUGAGGAUAACUACGAGGUAUCUGUGAUGGAUGUGGGGUGGAGGAAGAGGGCGGAGGCGGUGAUGGAUUUGGGGAGUAGGAAGAAUUGGGGGGUGUAUACGGGCAUAUUCAUUGUGCUCAUGCUCGUCAUACCCGCUAUCCCGCAUGAUGAGGACUAUCAUGACUUUGCCGACCAACGCACACUUUUCCUUGGGAUCCCUAAUACGCUGAAUGUGAUCUCAAUAAUUCCCUUCAUUUUUGUUGGUCUUGCCGGGCUUAUCCUUAACCACUGCGAAAGCUCACAGAGGGGUCUCUACACAAUCUUCUUUGCUGGUGUCAGUGUUGUUGGUUUUGGUUCAUUCUUUUACCAUCUCAACCCGAAAAAUGACUCACUAUUUUGGGACACAUUGCCAAUGAUGGUCACUUUCACAUCUUUCGAGGCCAUUUUCAUUAUCGAAAGGUUUGAUGAUUUGGCAGGAACAAAGUCGUUUGCAUCAACGAGCUACUGGCUAUGUGCAGCAGGAUUUUACGUUCUUGCAAGAGUACAAGAGGUUGCAGACAAACCAAUUUAUACGUGGACACUUCAUAUUGUCAGUGGGCAUACUCUUGGUCAUUUAUGUGCUGCAAUGGUGCCUCUUUUUUAUAUUCUCUUGUUAGAGAAAAGGACAAGGCCAAUUCAACCAGAAAGGCACAUGAUUCUAGUGCAUCAUCAAUUAAAGCUUGCUUUCAUGGUCUGCUUAUUGGUGCCCAAGAUGAUCUGCCUAUGGAUGCCCAAGUUACAGGUUAGUGCCAUAAUGUAUGAAAUCAGCAUUUUGAUGUGGGAGUUCAGUGCUCGUUAUGUGGCUAAUCAGGCAAAGACCUCUGAAGAGCGAGGAAUGUUAGAAACCCCAAUUCGUGCUCGGCAAAUAGUGCCUCGUGUUCGCGGCCUUUAUGGGAUGGACAUUUAUAAGAAUAAGGUCUUAGAAUUCUUACAAAGUGAACGAUCUGAUGAGUCUAUAUUUGGAUUAUGGGGCACGUCGGGUGUUGGCAAGACACGGCUUCUUUCACUCAUCGCUGAUAGCUUUGCCGAUUCAUUUCAUCACGUCAUAUUUCUUGAUGGUGGUAGUAGCGUCAGAGUUAUGCAAAAUCAUUUCGCAUACUUUUUGAAAUUGGAUUGGGAGACAAUCUCAUUGUUGGAGGAGCAUUACCGAGCUAAAAUCAUCAUGGAGUACCUAGAGCAUGUCAGUUUUUUGGUUCUGUUAGACGAUGUGCAAGAUGAAGUCUACCCAGAUUUGACAGCUGUUGGUUUGCCGAUGGCUCUUGGGCAUAGGCAAAAGGUUAUUCUUACGUCGAGGAGUCAGGUAGCAUGUGCUCGCAUGGGAUGCACCAUAUCAAACACUCUGGAGAUGAAGUGUCUCGGGGAUGAAGAUGCUUGGAGUCUUUUCGAGUAUAAUGCGGGAGUAAAAAUCACAGAAGCUGAUACUGAAAUUUAUGAAUAUGCAAAAAAGAUGGUUUCAGCAUGUGGAGGGUUGCCUAGAGCCAUAUGUGCUAUUGGCAUAGGCGUAGCCGGUGCCACUUGCAGGGGAAAACAUCCAGAUGAUUGGUGGUUUACCUACAAGCGUUUCAAGGCUAAAAAUCUGCCACCGGAACGAAUGGAAGAAAUAGUGCCUGUUCUGGUUUAGGCAACUUGUGCGUGGCUCCUAGGAGCUGUGGAGACAUGGUUGGACUUCAUUACGUGUUGCUGCCACAAUGAAGUGUUGGAAGAGUCCAGAUGGCGGCAGUUUGAUGCUUACUUGUGAAUAUGGUGUGAUAUGUUUGAUGAUAUUACUUUUUCUAGUAUGUGUUUUCUUGACUUGUCAGUCUUCUGAUGCGUAAACACAGAGAGCAGAACACCUUCAUGCUCCUUAAGCACUCCGGGCAGUUGGCCUUUUAAAAAUUGUAUUAUAUAAUUGGGGCCGUCCGAUCUCCUAUCAACCGUCCGAGAAUCGCUGCCUUGGUAAACUGACGCCUUACACGCCAUCGGCGUUGGCGUUGACGUACGAACUCGAGGUGAAGCACAACGGUCGCCCUUCCCCGGCCAUGUUCGUUGUGAUCGCUGAUGGCUGUUCGUCUGAUAUGCCAACAACGUGAGUUAAAUUGCAUCUAUGGUCCUUGUACUAGUUGCAUCUAUGGUCCUUGUACUAGUUGGCAUGUAACACAACGGUCCUGCAAUUCUGUAAAAUGCUCCAAUAUGGUCCUCGAAGAUGGAAAUACGUCACACGUAUAUGUAUGG
rnacentral:rRNA from 1 species